rnacentral:rRNA from 1 species
UACGGGGCCCGCACAAGCGGUGGAGCAUGUGGUUUAAUUCGAAGCAACGCGAAGAACCUUACCUGGGCUCGAACGUAAGAUGACUGUAGGUGAAAGCUUACAUCUCUUCGGAGCAUUUUACGAGGUGCUGCAUGGUUGUCGUCAGCUCGUGCCGUGAGGUGUCGGGUUAAGUCCCAUAACGAGCGCAACCCCUACCUUUAGUUGCCAUCAGGUUAAGCUGGGGACUCUAAAGGAACUGCCUACGCAAGUAGUGAGGAAGGCGGGGAUGACGUCAAAUCAGCACGGCCCUUACGUCCAGGGCUACACACGUGCUACAAUGGCCGAUACAGAGGGCAGCUACCUGGUGACAGGAUGCAAAUCUCCAAAGUCGGUCUCAGUUCGGAUCGGAGUCUGCAACCCGACUCCGUGAAGUUGGAUUCGCUAGUAAUCGCGCAUCAGCCAUGGCGCGGUGAAUACGUUCCCGGGCCUU